AUCACUGUCACAGGUGACACACUCACCUGUCUGUGUUUCUGCAGCUUUCAACAUUCACAAUGUGACGACAACUUAAUGACUGUGUUUGCUUUAUUUUAGACAAACACACCACCACACCUCCACCUACAUCCACACCUCCCGCUGCUCUCUCUGUUUUGUCAUUUGUUGGAUCAGUGUGUGUUGUGGUUCUAUUGGUGUUACUGGUUCUGCUGGUGAAACGAUGUGUUCACAGGAAACCUGAAGAUCGAGAAGAAAGUGGAGAAGAUGACCUCAUCACUCAUCUCAUCAUCAAGAUAUCAGUUUAUCAACAACAAUCCGAGGAAAGACGAGACAUUUAUUCGACUGUGGUCUACUUAGCAGUGAGAACUGAAGACAUCGGUUAUGGACAAACAACCAUUACAACAUGAUGACAGAACAG